CCUACGGGAGGCAGCAGUGGGGAAUAUUGCACAAUGGGGGAAACCCUGAUGCAGCGACGCCGCGUGAGUGAAGAAGGAUUUCGGGAUGUAAAGCUCUAUCAGCAGGGAAGAAAAUGACGGUACCUGAGGAAGAAGCCCCGGCUAACGACGUGCCAGCAGCCGCGGUAAUACGUAGGGGGCAAGCGUUAUCCGGAUUUACUGGGUGUAAAGGGAGCGUAGACGGCAGCACCAGUCUGGAGUGAAAUGCCGGGGCUUAACCCCGGAACGGCUUUGGAAACGGUGCAGCGAGAGUGCAGGAGAGUUAAGUGGAAUUCCUCGUGUAGCGGUUACAUGCGUCGCUAUUAGG
rnacentral:rRNA from 1 species